AAGAACUCAUGCAUAUUAUUUAUGAUCUUUAUUGUGUGAUCUUUUUUGUUGUUUGGAAUAGUGUGCGCCUGUUCUGAAUGAACAAAUUGGUUUUUGAAUUGUUAUCAUUGUAAGGAUUUUGCUUGGUUUGAUGGGCAAAAUAACUCCUCUAAUGACAUGUUGUGUUUUCUGUGUUUUUGCAAUCUUGAACCACUUUGCUAGUUUUCAACUUUUAUAGCCUUAGCCUUUCAUCUUUCAUGUGGUAAAAGUGCUGCAAAAAUAGCACUUCCCUCCCCUAACUACUGUCUUUGCCAUUGAAUUGUAUUAUUAAUUGAUGCAGUGAAUAGUUAAGGCAUUU
rnacentral:misc_RNA from 1 species